CCCAUAUGAUUUUUGAAUUAAUACAAAAGUAUUUACAAUUAUUUUUGUAAGCGGAAUUUAAUUUUUUUUAUAAAGAGCUCUUAAAACUUAAGUUCUCUAAACGAGUUACACAAAGCGGAAUGAAUCAAAUUAUGUAGUUAAACUCAAUAAUUAUAAGAUUUAAUUGCACUUUUGGCUCCCUAUCUUUUUAAAAGUUGCAAUUUUGGCCCCCUAAUUAAUUAAAAUACAAAACAACCCUCUAUGUAUUGGAUCUUUGGCAGUUUUGGCCCCCAAUGCCACUUUAGACUUAGUCUUCGCUGACUUGGCACCCACAUCCCUUAAGUGAGGUGCCACAUGUCGACCAUUGUGGGUGCCACAUCA
rnacentral:lncRNA from 1 species